CUACGGGGCGCUGCAGUGGGGAAUAUUGGACAAUGGGCGCAAGCCUGAUCCAGCCAUGCCGCGUGAGUGAUGAAGGCCUUCGGGUUGUAAAGCUCUUUCGCACACGACGAUGAUGACGGUAGUGUGAGAAGAAGCCCCGGCUAACUUCGUGCCAGCAGCCGCGGUAAUACGAAGGGGGCUAGCGUUGUUCGGAAUUACUGGGCGUAAAGGGCGCGUAGGCGGCUUUGUCAGUCAGGCGUGAAAGCCCCGGGCUUAACCUGGGAACUGCGCUUGAUACUGCAAGGCUUGAGUACCGGAGAGGUAGGUGGAAUUCCCAGUGUAGAGGUGAAAUUCGUAGAUAUUGGGAAGAACACCGGUGGCGAAGGCGGCCUACUGGACGGUAACUGACGCUGAGGCGCGAAGGCGUGGGGAGCAAACAGGAUUAGAUACCCUAGUAGUC
rnacentral:rRNA from 1 species